rnacentral:rRNA from 1 species
ACUCCUACGGGAGGCAGCAGUAGGGAAUCUUCCACAAUGGGCGCAAGCCUGAUGGAGCAACACCGCGUGAGUGAAGAAGGGUGUCGGCUCGUAAAGCUCUGUUGUUAAAGAAGAACACGUAUGAGAGUAACUGUUCAUACGUUGACGGUAUUUAACCAGAAAGUCACGGCUAACUACGUGCCAGCAGCCGCGGUAAUACGUAGGUGGCAAGCGUUAUCCGGAUUUAUUGGGCGUAAAGAGAGUGCAGGCGGUUUUCUAAGUCUGAUGUGAAAGCCUUCGGCUUAACCGGAGAAGUGCAUCGGAAACUGGAUAACUUGAGUGCAGAAGAGGGUAGUGGAACUCCAUGUGUAGCGGUGGAAUGCGUAGAUAUAUGGAAGAACACCAGUGGCGAAGGCGGCUACCUGGUCUGCAACUGACGCUGAGACUCGAAAGCAUGGGUAGCGAACAGGAUUAGAUACCCUGGUAGGAUAGCG